rnacentral:misc_RNA from 1 species
AACCUUAUGGUUCCUUUGAUCUUGAGAAACCAACGCGCUACUCUUUAUGACUUUGUCAUAAAGGUUGGGAGUAUCACACCCUCUUAACCCAUUUGGAGGUGUCUAUGUGCAACAUGAGCCGUUUCGGGUGGCGUCCGUGAUUGUUGUGCGAAGUUCGCGUUUACGCUGAGCUUUAGACUUGAUGAGCAUUGCAAGAAUGCCUCUGUAUUUGUAUUGGUGGUUACGCAUUAGGCUGCUAGCCUUUUGCCACACCUGCUUGUCAGGAAAUCUUAAUGAUCUGCUACUGCAGACGCCAAUACAGACUAACAUUUUACGUUUGAUGUUUGCAGAACCGUGACUUUGUGUCACAA